rnacentral:rRNA from 1 species
UACGUAGGGGGCAAGCGUUGUCCGGAAUCAUUGGGCGUAAAGAGCGUGUAGGCGGCCACACAGGUCUGCUGUGAAAACUCGAGGCUCAACCUCGAGCUGUCGGUGGAAACCGUGUGGCUAGAGUCCGGAAGAGGAGACGUGGAAUUCCCGGUGUAGCGGUGAAAUGCGCAGAUAUCGGGAAGAACACCCGUGGCGAAGGCGGCUCUCUGGGACGGUACUGACGCUGAGACGCGAAAGCGUGGGGAGCGAACAGG